CAUAAACCUUUGGUAUCAGAGGCCCGGUCUGAGGCCUGAAGUAAUGGUCAAGACAUUGCAAACAUAAAGCAAAGUUAGGCCGUGAGCCAGAGGCAGGCCCUGCUCACAGAAGUUGGCAAGAGGAAGGCUGCUAAAAGAACGUGUGCCAGGAUGGCACCAGAAUGGCUGGGUACGAACACAUCCCACACGGAUAACAAGGAACAGGCAAACCCAGCCUAAAGACAGUAUAAAAGGACAAUAUGAUGGAUAGGCAAUAAAAAAGGACAAUACGAUUGAUAGACAGCAUGAUGGAUAGACUUAUUUGGUCAAACCAACCUGUACCAGGAGAAAGGCAACACCCUAAUGCAUACGGGGGCUGUACCUCAGUGUGUUCAAUGAUGUGUAACCUGUUUAUACCUGGGUAUAAGAACGCCUGAGUGGACGUCUUUGUCUAGCCUAGGGGGCAGUGGAGUGUCCCACCACUGACUGACCUGGUCCAUUGUCAGGGAGCACAUAUGUACUAGCAGAACUGUAGACAUCUGAUCCGGGGAGCUAGAGGCUGUGUUUCAUUUGACAAUAAACCUGGCCAGGUGCUUCGUGCCUUAUCAGAGUCUUUGGUCAUUGGGGGUUCUCCUGUGGUCUGCUGUGUCGGCAAUCUGCGCAGAGCCGGGGCAGCACACAGAGGGAACACGCACGCAGCCGACUCUUAUCAACAUUAAACAGAGCAGAGCACCACACCAAUGGCGUCUGAUAACACUGGUGACCCCGACCGCUGAUCUGGUGAGUAAGCGAGCUGUCCGCUGUAGGAAUCGUGAUCUAACAUGACAGAAAACCACGAGCUAGGGAACCCCCUUAACCCUUCCCUGCAAAUCCCCACAGAGUUUUAAAAAUAUAAUGGGGAAAAACAUGUAAUGCAAUCUGUAAGGCUAGCGCAGAGACUGUAGUCGUAAAAUGUAAACUAUUGCAAAUUAUAAUGAUGGCUAUUACAGCAUGCACAAAAUUGGUGGGGCAAUAGCAGUAACAAAGAAGGAGUUAAAAUAAUCAAAAGGAGAUACAAAGCCCUGGAAUGCUCCCACCCCCCCCUGCAGGGUGGCGAGCAGCCCAGAGACAACCAGCACAGAAACAGAUUAAAACAUUGGAAACAGCUGCAAGGCUACAAAAAAUACAUGUGCCGUCCCCAGUUAUAAAUAUUUGCGAUCAACAGCAGGUUUCAGGUAGCUCCCCUUUGCCUGAAGAAUGGGGACAGAAUGGAAGAAGGUGGCCCUAGUAAAAUUAAAAGCUGUAACAGGGUCCUCUGCAGUGCAACCACCACCUUAUGAUAAAAGCCAGGUUCUGGUACAACCUAAACCGUGACCUAGACUGGUGCCUGUCAGAACGGGACAAGUAAGUGCACAGAUGGAAAAGGUAGCACACAAUACUGUCAUGGAAUUGAAGGAAAAUAUGGAACAGUUCACAGAGCACAUUCGGAGACAGGAGCUGCGACUCGAUUGCAGGGUAGUGAAUAAAAAGGAAUUUCAAAGUAAAAACUGAAAUUAAGCAGGUUAACAACUAGAAUUGAUGCAUUAACGCAGGGAGUUGCCCCAAAACAGUUAACUGCAGCAAAAAAGGGCACUCCCACCAUCUAUUUGGCAUGCAAACAAAAGCAACAGAUGCUGGGGGAACAAAUUCAGGUUUUACAAGAGCAGGUAAUAACUCCCACUCUCCUCUCAAAGCCAGGAUAAAAACCAGGGGCACAGUCUCAACUGUGCAGGUUUCCAACUGCUUUGACCCAUGGAACCAUACUUGGUGCUCAUAUCUAAAAAUAUAACCUUCUUUCUCAAAUAUUUUUGUAUAACAGUUAAGUUUUUUCUUUUAUAUGCUUUCUCAGUUUGCUAAACUCGCCGCUGUUGCCCGUACUUUCAAAUAUCUUGAUGCAGUUAAUCUCUCAUGGCUCAGAUCUUGCUACCUUCCUAGGUUGCUCUUUGCCCCCCCCCCCCCGCCCCUUUUCCCCGACCUCUCUUCACUUCUGCUCUCUCUUUGUUUAAAAGUUAAAAGUUAUAGUUUUUACAGAAAUCUCCAAAAGAUAAAGCAAUUGAAAACAGAACAAAACAAGAAACAAAAAGGAGAUAAGUGGGUCCUUAAAUUUGAGCAGUGACUGAGAGAGUGGAACCCGAAUCCCGGAGAAAUGAGAGACCAUUUCAAGCUUGAAAUAUACCAGAGAUUCAGAUGUGGCUCCGCUCUUCGUACAGAGUUCUUUCCAACCUUGAUUUUCAUAGAUUCAUAGAUUCCAAGGCCAGAAGGGUCCAUUGUGAUCAUCUAGUCUGACUUCCUAGGACACAGGACAGGCCAGAGAACUGCUCCCAAAUAAUUGCUGAAGCAGAUCUGUUAGAAAAAUAUCCCAUAUUGAUUUUAAAAUUGUCAAUGCUGAAGAAUUCACCAUGACCCUGACACACCUGAUGGCUAACACAGCAGGCAGAAAUCAAACGUCCAUCUCAGAAUUCAUCCUCCUGGGAUUUGGAAAUCUUCCAGAACUCAGCUUCUUCUCUUCCUGCUGUUUCUAGCGAUCUACAUGGUGACUGUGGCUGGGAACAUCCUCAUUGUUGCACUAGUUGUGACUGAUCAGCACCUUCAUACCCCCAUGUACUUCUUCCUGGGGAACUUGUCCUGCUUGGAAACCUGUUACAGCUCCAGCAUCCUGCCUAGGAUGCUGGCCAGUCUCCUGACUGGGGACAGAACCAUCUCAAGGAGAAAAGUAAUUUUCUUUAAUGUGAAAAUGUAAAACAGAGAGGAAAUAACACUUUCUACAAACCUACCCUCCCUGUCUUUAAAACAAGAAUGAAGAAGUGAAAACUGAGGCCAAAGGACUUCAAACAUGACAGGAGAAGAAAGUCCUCAGUUAUAGAAGUCCCUUCCUGCCCAAAACUUCUCAGGAUUUUCAGAAGUUCAAUCAAAGAGAUUGUUAACAAGUCCAAUUGAGGUGGUAGGCUACCCUCAAAAGGGGCACUGUGAAUGGUCAACUGGCCUAAAUCCUGAGAUCCUUCCAAUGAUUUCCUUUAUGUGCGUUUGGCAGAGGCAGGAGCAGCUGGGGAAUGAGAAUCCUGACACGCAGAUGUGAUCAAGCCAAGGGCACCCAUGAGUGAUACCAGCAUGUCUCAUGUAGCAAGAGGCUGUUGCAAUGGAAUGGGAUGUUGCUGCAGAAAUUUGCAUCCGGUGAGUGAAUGCAGCAGCGACAGAGAUGAAGACAUGCAGUGCGGGAUGGGCAGUCUAAGGCCUUGGCUAUACUGGAGAGUUGCAGCGCUGGUGGUUGUUUUACAGCGCUGCAACUUACUCCCCGUCCACACUGGCAAGGCACAUACAGCGCUGUAUCUCCCUGGCUACAGCGCUGGUUGUACUCCACAUGGACGAGAGGAAUAAAGAGAACAGCGCUGGAGUGCCAGUGUAAACAGUGAUUAAUCUUACUAUGCUGUAACUGACUUCCGAAAUGUUCCCAUAAUGCUUUUAACUAAAGAACUCUCUUUGUUUUGUUGUAAACUCGGGGCUCCCGGAGCUGCUUGUCUUAAAAACAAACACAGCAAUUGUUUGCUCGAGCAGAGGCAGACAAGGAAUGUCCACAGCUAGUGUUUGCUUGAGGAGAGAAACAGCGCUGCAGGGGGCAGGGGAGGGAGUCUGUUGGAGCAGCUGCUUAUCUGGUCUGAAGGCUAUUUGCAUUUAAGAGUGAAGUGGGUGAGGGAAGUGGUCAGAAUUUGCAAGGCAGGGAACUGACACAGUGUUGGCUCCAAAAAUCCACUCUCUCUCUCUCCCCCACGCUCCCUGUCACACUCCACCCCACCCACCUCUUUUGAAAAGCACGUUGCAGCCACUUGAAUGCUGGGAUAGCUGCCCAUAAUGCACCACUCCCAACACCACUGCAAAUGCUGGAAAUGUGGCCACACUGCAGCGCUGGUAGCUGUCAGUGUGGCCACACUGCAGCUAUUUCCCUACACAGCUGUACGAAGACAGCUUUAACUCCCAGCACUGUACAGCUGGAAGUGUAGCCAAACCCUAACAAAGAAACCUGAGCACUGCUCAGCACCCACUCACUGGUGAUGACACAAGUUGCAGCUAGUUUGUAGUGGCAAAUCUUGGCUUUGUCAUCAGUGAAUCCCUGGCAGGGCCCAAUUAGCGGGCUUAGGUCACUGAGCUGCACGGGUGUGCAAUGCAUUGUUCUGCCUGCAUUUUGCUGGGGUUACAGUCUGGGCUGCUCAUUGGGAACCAGUUCUCAUGUCCAGGGCUGGCUGCAAGACCAGGCUCGGUUACCUGUUGUCAGGAGGCCUUUUCUGCUAGGUGAGAGACUUGCCUGGUUCUAAGAUCCAGGACACCAUUGUCUUGUUUAUUUUUGUGUAGUUCACUUCUGUUCUGGGACUGCUGCCUCAUUGGUGUAAUUUCCUUCAUUCAAAAAUGUGUUUGUUUUGGGAUUUUUUUCACCUCAUUAAAAAAAUGG